UUAAGCACCAUUUAAAGCUCAUCUUUUCCAUUCAAACCAAAAGUAUCCUACGCCAACUCAUCAAUAACAUCAAUGGAGUAAAUAAUUAGAUCUCUUGUAGGAUGUUCCAUAGCAUCAAAGAUAUUAAGUUUAACAAUCUCGCCAUCAAAUUCCAUGGUGAGUGUUCUAUAUUCCACAUCAAUCUUUGUUUUAGUUGUCUUGAGGAAAGGUCGUCCUAACAAGAUUACUGUUGAAC
rnacentral:lncRNA from 1 species